rnacentral:lncRNA from 1 species
GAAUUGCUUAGAAUUGACUCAACACUGCCUCCUUGCUGAAUGGAUAAUUCAAGCAAACAACUCAAGAGCUGGAUGCUGCCCAGACAGAAGUCCUCCUAGCAUCUUUCUUCUGCCUUCCCCUGCUCCUGUCCCUGAAACCUUUUCUUCAAAAGAAGUGGAAAAGAGGAACUGGGAACCCAUAUAGCAACAGCAUCACCUGGAAUGAAUUCCUUUAGAACAUACUGUCUUGGAAAUCUGAAGCCUGCAGGGCUGGACAGGCAAGAAGAGCAGUGAGCACUGCAUGAACCUCACCCUUGAACUUCUAUAUGGUCUCUAAAGACAUGAUAAAUACAGAGAUUGCUCUCUCCUCUCAACUGCAACAGUAAUGAUUCCUUUGCAUUUUAAUUAAGUCUUUUACACAUGAAUAAGUCUUGUAUCCUCAAAUGGACUAAAGACUCCUCGAGGACAAGAACUAUCCUUCAGUCCCAUACAUUGGUUACCUGGCAAAGGACCCUAAAUGCAGAUUAUGAAGUAGCUAUGGAAUUUGAAUGGGUUGAUUCUUCAGCUCCCAGAAAAAAACUUUGAUUGGUUUAACUGGCCACAGUAAUUGAUGUGGGAAUGAGGCCCUGACAUAAUUUCAACUUAGAAGACAUGUUCACUGGAAGUGAACUAGGAAGCAUGAAGUCUCAGACAUUCAACACUGAAAGAAUAAGCAGUCUUAGGAUGAAGGCAGUGCUAUGGACACCAGAACUCCAUGGUUCAGGCUGUUCAGCAUCAACUGUUCCUGACAGCCACCCUAACGUGCCUCCAGUUUCCUGGGCCAACAGAUGCCUGUCAUUGUUGAAGUUUCUUUGAGUUGGGUCUUCCGUUACUUACAAUUUAAAUCACCCUCACUGAUUACUAUGUACUUAAUUGUUCUCCUCCACUCUCCGCCAAUCCAUAUGCUGAAGCCUUAACCCCCAACGUGAUAGUAUUUGGAGACUGGAACUUUGGGAGAUAAUUAGAUUUAGAUGUGGUCAUGAGGAUGGGACCUUCAAGAUGGGAAUAGUAUCCUUAUAAAAAGUGGUACUAGAAAGCCUCUCUUUCUCUCUCUCUGCCACGUAAGAACACAGCAAGAAGGCAGCCAUCUGCAAGCCAGGAAGAGAGCCCUUACCAGAACUUGACCAUGCUGACACCCUGAUCUCAGAUGUCCAGCCUCCAGAACUGCAAAAAAGACACAUUUUCAUUGUUUAAGCUACCUAGUUUAUGGUAUUUUGUUACAGCAGCCCAAUCUGACUAAUACGCUGAUACAGGCAUAUUAGGGUACAUGCCACCAGCAGAGUGGUUCAACUGCAGGUCCACACUUACCCAGUGAAGGUGACUCAGCCUAGAGUGUGACUCAGUCUCUUCCCAACCCUGUCCGCAUCACCCCUGGAAGAGUCAGCUCCUCCCACAACUGCAGUCCUGACAGCAGCAUCAUGCCUCUGAAAUGAUCUUGCAAACAAGCUGUCAUUGGAGUGCUGAGAGAGUGGCAAUAUCAACUAAAAACAUGAAGAAGAAGAGCAACAAAGAGGAGGAAGAGGAGGAGAAGAGGGAAAGAAGUGAGGCGCUGUGGUGAAGAGUAGUACUUCUCAUCUCCACCAGAACAGCAGAGAACAAUGAAAGCACACCAUCAGGAC